AUUCUAUGGUGAGGACAAUUUUUAAUCAUCAUCUUAAAUUGCUCGAAAGCUUCAUGAAACAUCUCGCCUUGUUGUUGUUGAAAACUCCUCAACCCCUUUCUUGCAU
rnacentral:snoRNA from 1 species